rnacentral:rRNA from 1 species
AUGCCAUUCGGAUUGACGAACGCCCCGAUAACGUUUCAAUGCCUGAUGAAUGCUAUCUUUGCCAAAUACACCCAUAAGUUUGUCAUCAUCUUUCUGGACGACAUUCUCGUUUUCAGUGAGACCCUGGAGGAACACAUCGAGCAUCUUCGCCUCGUCCUCAACCUGCUCCGCGAGCAUCAGCUUUACGCCAAGAUGUCCAAGUGCUCGUUCGCCUAA